AACUAUAUCUCCUGUUCAUGUUUACGAAGAUGUUCAUUCAUUCAAGAAAGUGUUAAAGAAAUUAUUCGAGCUGUAGAAGCUUCUCCUAUGUAUGUUUGUGAACUUUGUUCAUACAUUCAAAUAUUUGUAUAUUAACAUGUAGUUUUCAAUGGCCUACUUCUUAAUUUUCACUGUGAAAUAGAAAUUAAUUUGCUUAAGAGUUAGAAUUAAUAUAGUAGCUGAGUCUAUUCUAGGAAUGAUAGUGGCAACAAAAUACAACUGAAAGUAAUGAAUGUGUUCCUCUCUUCCCUGUCUCCUCCUCUUUCUCCACCUUGGGGGAUAAAGAAAAAGUCAUUUUGCCCUAAAAUAAAAUGUCAGCUUGUUUUCAGAAUAAGAAAGGCUAUUGCACAGGACAAAAUUUAAGUUGGUAAUACAAUCUGUAACUUGUUUGAAGGAAGUGAAUUUUUUUUUGUCUUGUUUUAUAAUUUAUUAUGAAUUGAGCUUUGUCUUAAAAAUAUAUAUAUAUUAAAGCUGGGCACAGUGGCUCACACCUGUAAUCGCAGAACUUUGGGAGGCCGAGGCAGGUGGAUCAUGAGGUCAGGAGUUCAAGACCAGCCUGGCCAACACGUCUUUACUAAAAAUACAAAAAUUAGCCGGGUGUGGUGUCGUGUGUCUGUAAUCCCAGCUACUCCAGAGGCUGAGGCAGGACAAUUGCUUGAACCUGGGAGGUGGAGAUUGCGUGACCCGAGGUUGUGCCAUUAUACUCCAGAGCAAGACUCCAUCUCGGGCAGGGGGCUGGGGGAAGUUAUAAAUAUAUAUGAGAAUCAUGGUCCACAGUACCUGUGAAUGUCAACUUAUUUGGAAAUAGAGCUUUUGCAGAUAUAAUCAAGUAAAUAAAGAUGAGGUAUUAUAAAGGGCCAUAAUUCAAUAUUAUUAGAGCCAUAUAAGAAGAGGAGAGAGAUACAGAGAAAAAAACACCACGUGAAGACACAGAGACAGAGGGAGGAAGAUGAACAUGUAAACCAUGGAAGCAAAGAUGGGAGUUAUGCUGCCACGGCUGAAGAAUGCCUGAGGCUACCGAAAGCUAGAAGAGGCAAGGAAUGAUCCUCCCCUAAAGGCUUUGGAGGGAGCACCGCCCUGCCUGCAGACUGCUUGUCUCUAGAACUGAGAGACAAUAAAUUUCUGUUGAUUUAAGCCACUUGUUGCAGUAAUAUGUUAUGGCAGCCCCAGAAAAUUGAAUCACAAUUCCCAUAGUGUUAAGAACUGAUCAAUUCCUUUGAAAGGAGUUAUUUACUUCACCCCAAAAGAAUCAUCCCCUCCACUCUGAUAUUGUUGAUUACUGUAACGAGACAAGUCGUAUUCAGUCAACAUCAUCAUCAUCAACAUCAACAGGUUGCUUCUACUCCCCUCUCAUGCUUAACAGAAGGCUCAAGAGCCACAGAAUUUGUUGGAUGUUCAACAAAGGACAGUAUUAAGCCUUUGUAGAACAAAAAGAACUGUGCCAAGUAUUCUUAACUACUGUGACAUCAAGGGAAAAAUUCAUGUGUAUGGGAUUUUGAGUUGAUACUGCUUAGAAAACUGUCAGUCUAUACUGGGAACUGAGUCAUGAUUUUCUCUUCUCUAUUUGAGAACCAGAUGA
rnacentral:lncRNA from 10 species